UACGAAGGGGGCUAUCGUUGCUCGGAAUCACUGGGCGUAAAGCGCACGUAGGCGGCUUGUUAAGUCAGGGGUGAAAUCCUGGAGCUCAACUCCAGAACUGCCUUUGAUACUGGCGAGCUUGAGUCCGGGAGAGGUGAGUGGAACUGCGAGUGUAGAGGUGAAAUUCGUAGAUAUUCGCAAGAACACCAGUGGCGAAGGCGGCUCACUGGCCCGGUACUGACGCUGAGGCACGAAAGCGUGGGGAGCAAACAGG
rnacentral:rRNA from 1 species